rnacentral:SRP_RNA from 1 species
GCCGGGCAUGGUGGCGCACGCCUGUAAUCCCAGCUACUUAGGAGGCUGAAGCAGGAGAAUCACUUGAACCCAGGAGGCGGAGGUUGCAGUGAGCCGAGAUCACACUACUGCACUCCAGCCUGGGCACCAGAGUGAGACUCUGUUUCAA